rnacentral:rRNA from 1 species
UCGAGAAUCUUCCGCAAUGGACGCAAGUCUGACGGAGCGACGCCGCGUGACUGAUGAAGUCUUUCGGGAUGUAAAGGUCUUUUAUGAAGGAGAAAGUUUUGAUAGUACUUCAUGAAUAAGGGGUUGCUAAACUCGUGCCAGCAGCAGCGGUAAUACGAGUACCCCAAGCGUUAUCCGGAAUUAUUGGGCGUAAAGGGUGUGUAGGCGGUAAUGUUAGUCUCUUGUCAAAGCCUCCGGCUCAACCGGAGAAUUGCGGGGGAAACGGCAUAACUAGAGAGUGUGAGAGGUUUGCGGAACUCAUGGUGUAGGGGUGAAAUCCGUUGAUAUCAUGGGGAACACCAAAAGCGAAGGCAGCAAACUGGCACAUUUCUGACGCUGAAACACGAAAGCGUAGGUAGCGAAUGGG